AAGAAAAUUCCCCUCUGACAGGAUGAGUGUUGAUCCACCUACAAAGCUGACUAUCUUUAAUGUAGAGUUAAAUGACACCGGGAGCUACAGCUGUCAAAUAACAGAUGAUCAAAGUGGUGUACGGACAAUGGAGUGGAAUUUGACCAUCACUAAUAACCUCACAGAUCAUGCUGAAUAUAACCUAUGGAGGUUAUUGCUCUUCACAAUUCCAUCUGCUAUUGGAGGAGUGGUUCUCUGCAUUAACAUCUGUUGUAUGGUCUGGCUGUGUAGGAAACGAAAACAGGAACAAACAAGUCAUUGUGAUAAGCGCAGAG